GAGGGCAGGGCGCAGUCGCUGCGCCCUGGGCGCAGGGGCAUCGCUCCGGGGAGUGUCGCCCGCCCCUGCUCUCACCGGUCUUUCGCUUUGCGCUUAGGGCGACGACCUGAAGUCGACCCCCCAAAUCCGCCCUAGCCCCCUGGCUGGCUCGCACAUGCUCAGAACGCUGGCUCCUGCCCCGCUGGGGUUUCAGGGCUCUCAGUCCUCUUCCCGUGCGCCCGGAGGCGGUGGGUCAGCAGCGCUGUGCUAGCAGGAAGGUCUGUGAUGUUUGCAAUCAAGCCAUUAUGAAGUCAAGAAUGGAGGUUCCAUUUUUAAACAACCCAGAGGGGGUAGAUCUUGACUGACAUCUCAUCUGGGGUCACCUGGUCUUCAACUGAGAGAUCUUUUGGUUUGCCACAGAUGCCCCUUGCAGUUAUGUAAAGGAACAUGCUCUUUUGCCUGCAGCCAUGGAAGACAUGCCUUUGCUCCACCUUUACCUUCUGCCACGAUUAUGAGGCCUCCCCAGCCACAUGAAAUGUGAUCUUGGAAACCGUGUAUUGAAGGUGGUGAAGCCACAGAUGGAAGGCACCUGGAUCCAGAUUUAAAAGAGCUUCCUGCCAAUCAGGAACACCCUUUUUGAGCUUUGAGGAUGUGUUUUAGUUCUCAUAUUCCUGCAUAACAAACUACUCCAAAUUUAGUGGAUUAAAACAACAAUUUAUUAUAAUCCCUAUAAGUUCUGUGGAUUGACUGGGUUUAGCUAGGUGGAUCUCACUUGGGGUGACUCAUAUGAUUG